GCAAACUCAAGAGCUUUCACUCCACACUUGCCCACACGUUUUUGCCUUCAAGCUUCCAAACUUUCAAGUGCUCAAGUGUCCUAGCUUUCCAAAGCUUCAAAAGCUCUCCAACUUCUUCUUCUAAUCUUCUUGUUCAUCUUUACAAGUAAGAAGUGUUGUUUGCUUUAAUAUUCCACUCCUCUAAUCACCUCUUGUGUGUGUCCACUUUGGUUGAGAGGGUUGUCUCAAUAGUACCAAAGUGUGAGAGAAGGUUUUUGAGCUCAACCAUAAAGCUCUAGUUUGGUUUUAUAGAGUUUCCGGGAAAACUCUUAGGUCAAAUCUAUCUUGAAAGAUUUUUAGGUUUUUAAGAGUUCCUUGAUACUCUAAGGUACUAACUUACCCGUAAAAGUUAGAGGUUCUUAAGAGUGCCCUUGAUACUCUAAGGUGUGAGUCUACCCGUAAAAGACUGGUUCAUAAGCGAAGUAGCCUUAAAGCUUAGAGAGGUUUUUAAAAGUUCCUUGAUACUCUAAGGUACUAACUUACCCGCAAAAGUUAGAAGUUCUUAAGAGUGCCCUUGAUACUCUAAGGUGUGAGUCUACCCGUAAAAGACUGAUUCCUAAGCGAAGUAGCCUUAAAGCUUAGAGAGGUUCUUAAGAGUUUCCUUGAUACUCUAAGGUUUUGCCAUAACCUUUAGGCGAGUGAAUUCCGACAGUUGGUCGGAACUGGACUAGCCCUUGUUUGGGUGAACCAGUAUAAAUCUCUUGUGUUAUUCUUUGUUAACUCUAGUUUUUAUCUUUCAUCUAAAAACAACUAAACAACACUUAAUUGAAAAUGAUCCCUCUUCCAGUUAUCUGGUCAAAUACAGAGGUUGACUACUUUACGCAGAUCCCUCAUCCAGUUAUCUGGUCAACUAUCUGAGGUUAUAUUCAUUGCUUUAAAUCUUUAUUCAUAUAUUUGUUCAAGCAUUUACUUAUCAUAUAUAUAUCCAGUUAUCUGGUCAUUUACUUGUUUAUCAAUAUAUUCAGUUAUCUGGUCAUUUACUUGCUUAUCAAUAUAUCCAGUUAUCUGGUCAUUUACUCUAUAAUAUAACUUGUGUUUAUAAUAUAACUUAGUAUUCAUAUACUAUAGUUGUUUAUAAAACACCAUCUGAAAAGUUGACUACGUAUUCAUAUAUUGUAGUAAACUUCUAGAGCAAAAGGCAAGUCCAAUAUAUAUAAUAAUUAUAUAAUAGUAUUGUAUUGCUAACAAUAUUAUACUAUUAUUAUUAUACAACCAUUUGUGUACUUAAGUGUGUGCAG
rnacentral:lncRNA from 1 species